AGCCCCUUAGCUCAGCAGGGAGAGCGCCUGUCUUACAAACAGGAGGCCGCUGGUUCGAGACCAGCAGGGGCUACCA
rnacentral:tRNA from 1 species